ACAAGGUGUUUUCUGAAGUUUAACAAGGA
rnacentral:piRNA from 1 species